rnacentral:lncRNA from 1 species
CUCCUCCCACCCGUCCUGCCCACUCCCGCACACCUCGCCCCGCCGCCCUGAGUGACCUGGCCGCGCACCAGUCACAGAGACGGUAACCCUGAAUGUCUCAGAAUGGAUAUCAGCUAGAAGACUCUGACCUGGACAGAUGCAGAUCUAGACAUACAGUUCCUGCAGUCAUGCUAGUAGAGAGAUCAUGUCAGCAGCAAAGAGUGCAAUUGGACGUCAGCAGCAAAGCAUUCAUUCCUGAAGGAAAUUAUUGAACCCACACACAGAGAAUUCUGACAGCAUUGUUUAGCGAUGCGGUCUUCUUAUGUUGUCCAGGCUGAUCUGAA